rnacentral:sRNA from 1 species
GCUGGGCGUGGUGGCUCACGCCUGUAAUCCCAGCAUUUUGGGAGGCCGAGGCGGGUGGAUCACCUGAGGUCGGGAGUUUGAGACCAGCCUGACCAACAUGGAGAAACCCUGUCUCUA